rnacentral:lncRNA from 1 species
AAGCCAACUUGCCAACGCCUGCAAUUCCUACCUCGGAUAUAGAUUGACAGGGCUAUUUCUCUGCACAGUUCAGAUUCUUCAUAUUUUUUCCAAUUAAAUCUGAUGUUAUUUCUUUCCCGCCAGAUAAGAGCAACAGUGUUAAUGAAGGCACAAGCUGUUAUACUAUUAAGUGCCACUCUACUAUUUGCCUUGCUACACACCCACUGCAAUUCUGUUUCCCAGUUACCCACUGUCCUGUGAUAUCCCAGCCAGGUGCAUAGUCUAAUCCACAGGCCCUUUGUAACUGG